AAGCAAGCAUAAGGCAGCUUACUUCGAGGUUAGCAUCACAUGCUUUCUUGUAAGCAUUCUUAGCAGCAGCGGGUGCAUCAUCAGCAGGUUCUUCUGGUAGUGGGUUGUCUAGAACAUCUUCCUUUUUCUUAGCCCUGAGAACAAUUCUCAGGUUACGGAUCCAAUCCGAGUAAUUUGUUCCAUUCAACUUGUCCUUCUCAAGGACCGAACGCAAAGCAAACGGUGUAGUGCUGCUAGGUGCCAUUUAAUCUACAACAAAGUAAUGCAAAAUACACUAAGACAAACGUAUCCAUGAUAGAGAAAAUCACAUUAAACUAUUUUAACAGAAUCUACUCCCACUAAAAUCAAUAUCCCUCUAUUGAAACUUAGUGAUUCAGGAUCCACAACUGACAAGUCCACUAGUGAGCUUUAGCAUCACCGCUAGCAAACAAGGUAGAUCGGUAAGCAACUUUUGCUAAUCAUAUCACAUAUGACUCCUGUUGUUGGGUGACAUCUCUAUGUCUCGGCGCCCAACCUUAAUGCCCCAAGGUCCUUAACCGUUAAGAUAACCUUGUUAAGC
rnacentral:lncRNA from 1 species